GGCAGCACACCUGUUUUAAUGUAUAACUCUGUGCAUCCUUUCAGCCGCGAAAGAGAAUCGACGUGUCCCAUCUAAACCAAAAACAUCACCCAGCCCAGACGUACCACAAACAAAAUCUGGAGUCAUUCGAGCCCUUCAAGAGCCAGUCACCGCUACAACUCCUCAUUCUCUUGAACGAGCAAAAGCAACACUGGGUAAUAAUAUUUAUUCAAUAGGUAGUCACUUUGUUUUGUUUGUUUUCAUUCUU
rnacentral:lncRNA from 1 species